rnacentral:rRNA from 1 species
AUUGAACGCUGGCGGCAGGCCUAACACAUGCAAGUCGAGCGGAUGAAGGGAGCUUGCUCCUGGAUUCAGCGGCGGACGGGUGAGUAAUGCCUAGGAAUCUGCUUGGUAGUGGGGGAUAACGUCCGGAAACGGGCGCUAAUACCGCAUACGUCCUGAGGGAGAAAGUGGGGGAUCUUCGGACCUCACGCUAUCAGAUGAGCCUAGGUCGGAUUAGCUAGUUGGUGGGGUAAAGGCCUACCAAGGCGACGAUCCGUAACUGGUCUGAGAGGAUGAUCAGUCACACUGGAACUGAGACACGGUCCAGACUCCUACGGGAGGCAGCAGUGGGAAAUAUUGGACAAUGGGCGAAAGCCUGAUCCAGCCAUGCCGCGUGUGUGAAGAAGGUCUUCGGAUUGUAAAGCACUUUAAGUUGGGAGGAAGGGCAGUAAGUUAAUACCUUGCUGUUUUGACGUUACCAACAGAAUAAGCACCGGCUAACUUCGUG